GGGCUCCUAUAGGUGGUGUAUAGAGGUGAUAGGGCUCCUAUAGGUGGUGUAUAGAGGUGAUAGGGCUCCUAUAGGUGGUGUAUAGAGGUGAUAGGGCUCCUAUAGGUGGUGUAUAGAGGUGAUAGGGCUCCUAUAGGUGGUGUAUAGAGGUGAUAGGGCUCCUAUAGGUGGUGUAUAGAGGUGACAGGGCUCCUAUAGGUGGUGUAUAGAGGUGACAGGGCUCCUAUAGGUGGUGUAUAGAGGUCCUAUAGGUGGUGUAUAGAGGUGAUAGGGCUCCUAUAGGUGGUGUAUAGAGGUGAUAGGGCUCCUAUAGGUGGUGUAUAGAGGUGAUAGGGCUCCUAUAGGUGGUGUAUAGAGGUGACAGGGCUCCUAUAGGUGGUGUAUAGAGGUGAUAGGGCUCCUAUAGGUGGUGUAUAGAGGUGAUAGGGCUCCUAUAGGUGGUGUAUAGAGGUGAUAGGGCUCCUAUAGGUGGUGUAUAGAGGUGAUAGGGCUCCUAUAGGUGGUGUAUAGAGGUGAUAGGGCUCCUAUAGGUGGUGUAUAGAGGUGAUAGGGCUCCUAUAGGUGGUGUAUAGAGGUGAUAGGGCUCCUAUAGGUGGUGUAUAGAGGUGAUAGGGCUCCUAUAGGUGGUGUAUAGAGGUGAUAGGGCUCCUAUAGGUGGUGUAUAGAGGUGAUAGGGCUCCUAUAGGUGGUGUAUAGA